AGUGAACGCUGGCGGUAGGCCUAACACAUGCAAGUCGAACGGCAGCACAGUAAGAGCUUGCUCUUACGGGUGGCGAGUGGCGGACGGGUGAGGAAUACAUCGGAAUCUACUUUUUCGUGGGGGAUAACGUAGGGAAACUUACGCUAAUACCGCAUCCGCCCUACGGGUGAAAGCAGGGGAUCUUCGGACCUUGCGCGAUUGAAUGAGCCGAUGUCGGAGUAGCUAGUUGGCGGGGUAAAGGCCCACCAAGGCGACGAUCCGUAGCUGGUCUGAGAGGAUGGUAAGCCACACUGGAACUGAGACACGGUCCAGACGCCUACGGGAGGGAGCAGUGGGGAAUAUUGGACAAUGGGGGCAAGCCUGAUCCAGCCAGACCGCGUGGGUGAAGAAGGCCUUCGGGUUGUAAAGCCCUUUUGUUGGGAAAGGAAAGCAGCAGGUUAAUACCCCGCUGUUCUGACGGUACCCAAAGAAUAAGCACCGGCUAACUUCGUG
rnacentral:rRNA from 1 species